rnacentral:rRNA from 1 species
UACGUAGGGGGCAAGCGUUGUCCGGAAUCAUUGGGCGUAAAGAGCGUGUAGGCGGUUCGGUAAGUCCGCUGUAAAAGUCCAGGGCUCAACCCUGGAAAGCCGGUGGAAACUGUCGAACUAGAGUCCGGAAGAGGCGAGUGGAAUUCCUGGUGUAGCGGUGAAAUGCGCAGAUAUCAGGAGGAACACCGGUGGCGAAGGCAGGUCACUGGGCCGCAACUGACGCUGAGGAGCGAAAGCAUGGGGAGCGAACAGG